rnacentral:rRNA from 1 species
GAUGAACGCUGGCGGCGUGCCUAAUACAUGCAAGUCGAGCGAACAGACGAGGAGCUUGCUCCUCUGACGUUAGCGGCGGACGGGUGAGUAACACGUGGAUAACCUACCUAUAAGACUGGGAUAACUUCGGGAAACCGGAGCUAAUACCGGAUAAUAUAUUGAACCGCAUGGUUCAAUAGUGAAAGACGGUUUUGCUGUCACUUAUAGAUGGAUCCGCGCCGCAUUAGCUAGUUGGUAAGGUAACGGCUUACCAAGGCAACGAUGCGUAGCCGACCUGAGAGGGUGAUCGGCCACACUGGAACUGAGACACGGUCCAAACUCCUACGGGAGGCAGCAGUAGGGAAUCUUCCGCAAUGGGCGAAAGCCUGACGGAGCAACGCCGCGUGAGUGAUGAAGGUCUUCGGAUCGUAAAACUCUGUUAUUAGGGAAGAACAAAUGUGUAAGUAACUAUGCACGUCUUGACGGUACCUAGUCAGAAAGCCACGGCUAACUACGUG